AUAACAAAAACCUUCUCCACACUCCAUCCAUUUUCAUAAUUCCCAAAACCAUAAACAAUUACCAUAUUCUUACAUCUCUCUCUCUCUCUAAAAUCGUUUGAACCAAACACCCCUCACUCCACUUUCAUUUCAAUCUUCAAACUCAAGAAUUCUUGCUCUUAUGGAGAUCCAUGGAUGAAACAAACUAUUAGGGUGUUAAGUAAAGCUAUUGGAGCAUUUUUGGUGGAACUUAAAGCCUAAAAUCAUCAAGAUUUCUUAUCAUCAUCUUUGUUUUCUUGCAAAAAUUGUCGAGAAACGAACCGCGAACAAGGAAUCGAAUAGAGAUUUGCACGGAACGCAAAUCUGUCGAGAAACGAACCGCGAACAAGGAAUCGAAUAGAGAUUUGCACGGAACGCAAAUCUGAGAUUAGUGGACGGCUAUGGAAAAAUAUGUUCAAGUGGUUAUCAAGAACGCAAGCUUUUGUGAUGUCAUCCGUUUUUAGUGUUAUGUUUUGAACUUUGAAUAAUGUAGUUAAAGUUGUUGUUGUUUCAAGUUUCAAACAAGACGUAUGUAAUGUAAAUUAUGGUUUUGAAUCAAAUGUAUGGAUGAACAUCUUUUAUGUUUCAAA